AUGAAAACUAAUUAUAGAUCAUUUGCUAGGACCCUCAGCAAACAGGUUUAUUCUCUGCUUCCUCGUUGUUCCAUGAGAUAUCUUUCCCAGGGUUUGUUUGCUCACUUUUGCCUCUCUCCUUGCCCAGCUGUCCUUACUGUAGCUCUGUCAUCUCUCACUUCCCACCUCUCCACCAGGUGCACACACAGGGAAGCCUCUGGCACAGGUAGCCACACCACAGGAGCUGGUGUUGGACAGCCAGAACCACAGCCAGCCCCCACAGUGAGCCCAGACACAAAGCAAGGAUGCAGAGAAAGCUGCUCUUCUUUGUCCUGCCUCUUGCCUUUCUCCUUGGCAGUUUAAACCUUUUCUGCUCACCUUUCUCUUUCCAGAUUUUCUUCUAGCCCCAAACAACUGCAGCAGGACAGCCCACUGCCUCGUGUUUCAUUCUCAGCCUCGUAGUCGCCACUUUAUUUUGCCUUUUCCCACUUUCAUGAAAGAACACAGUCGCAUGAAUAGGAUUAUUUAUCAUCCCCUCCCUCCCCUUCCAGGAUGACUUGCUGUUUAUGGAAAGCACUCGAGUGCAGGAGAGAUUGUGCUACAGUUAAACAGACAAUGCUUAAAGGGCCACUGCCUGCUCUCUGCUUUAACACUGUGCUCCUCACCGACUUCCAAGAAAGAAGUUCUGUAUCCCAUCACAAACCACCACUGAAAGGUAAACAAAUGCUACAUUCAAUAGGAUGGAGAAGAUGGUUUGGCUUGGUGAUCUUGGAGGUUUUUUCCAAGCUAAAUGAUUCUACAAUUCUAUGGUUCUGCACUUCACUUCUUGCCUGAAAAUUCAUGUCUGUUUCUAGCCCAGUACACCAGGAACAUGCUCCCAUGGACCAUGCGAUGGUGGCUAGCAGGUGACAGAACAAGUUAAGAUAUGUCCCUGUGACACAACCAAAUGGUGUGAUCAGAGGUGCUUCUCAGAGGUCUGCUGGACCUGCAAUUCAGCAUGGCAAUGGUAAACCUUGUCCUGAGAUGGUGAGAACAGGGCUUUAGAAAUGGUUGCUCCCAGCUUCUCACCUGCAGUUUGGCCAUGGUCCUAUGGCAGGUUCUCUACAUCCUCCCUGCAUUUCUGAUUACUGAUGUGCCUCCUGGCUAAAGAUCUUUAUCAGCUCUCAGGAAGAAAUCCCCUAAGUACAAAGUGUUGAGAAUAAACAGCUGGAAAGCACUGAAUUCUUUGGGAAUUUCUGCUGAGCAGCCACCACACGGAUUGCCUGUUCUGGUCUGACCACCAUCAGUGUGUCUGUGGAUACCAGUGUGUCUCAAAAGGGUGGAAGUGCUCAGGGAGAGUUUGAAGACUCAGUGUGGGCUCCAUGAGACCCUUCUGUAGAGCUACUGCUCUGGGCUAGAGACUUCAGGCAUGAUCCUUGAAUGAUGUGCAGCCACUGAGACCAUGUGAGGACCAAGCUGCUGAAGGCCUAAGAAAAUCAAAAGAAAAAUGCAAAAAUCUCUAUACUAGAGUUGCUGUUAAAAAACAAACAAACAAACCAACCAAUCACCAAUCCCUUACUUGCUCUUCUCCUUCCCCUAUAUUAACUGGGUUUCUGUGACAAAAAGGCUCAGAAAUUCAAUUAGGAAGCUUCACAGCCAUUACAAACAUUUUCAGCUCAAAGUUAGCAAUUCCACUACAGCAGCCUGCAUAUCUCCCACGUCCUUUAGGUACUGCUGGAUCCUGCAGUCUCCGGUGUGCUGGGAGUUGAAAAUGUGUGUAUCAUUCUCGUGAGUUUUUAUUGUAAGGGAGGGAAUCUCACAGGACAAAUGUGUAAUGCUGUAAGAGCAACAAGGUUGCAUGGAUACAGGAACACAAACGGGGCGGCUCACACUUUGAGAAUAGAAAUUCUACGGGAAGAACAACUAUCUCACUGUGUUUGGAUGGAGCUUAAUAAAACUGACUGCUCCAAGCUAGGCCUCUACAGGCUUCCAAAGCUACAAACAAUGAAGAAUAAUAUCACAAUUUUAUGGUACUUAGCGUGGCUGAGUUACAUCCUGGAUGGGCUCCACAGAAUCACUGCAAGUGGUGCUGAUUUGAGUCAGAGAAGAGCUUUACACCCCCAUUGCUGAGGAGACAUGAGCACACCACACACAGGACCCCAGGGGCUGAGCCCUGUGUGCACUGCUCUCAUUUACAGCAUGUAUCAACAUACCUUAAGCUGGGCUGGUACUUUUACAGUCAUUCAGCUGGAUGAACUCUGUAUUCCUGACAAAACACAGCCCAAUUUUAAUAGCUGUAUCCACCAGGCAGAGGAUAUCCCGCACUCACAGCAGCUCCCUUGUCCCACAGGGGUGGGUAGCAGGGAUCAGCUUCAAUACCCACUAAAAUAGCGGCCAGUGCUGGUAUGCAAGUGCCCUAGUUUAAUGCCUAAACAUGGUAUCUUGCUACCCAGGCUGGCAGGGCUGCCAGUUAGUGCUCCAGCCCUGAAGGUGAACUGUGUGUCACUCAGCAGUGGCUCCGGCAGCAGGGAAGGUCAAACAGUCCCUCACUUUCAGCCAUGCUGCUGAAGCUCCUGGCUGAGGAGCAGCUGGGCACUGGGGGAGAGAAGAGCACAUUAACAAGAGCGUUACUAACUAACUCUCUUGGCUAUUAAACCAAGUCAUGUCCCCAGAGAUAACUGGCUGUAACCCGCACUGAAUUCAAAGGGGCAAUUUUGGGUGGAGGAUCAGCUCUACAGGGACCCUGCCCCAUUCAUAGGAGGGCAAAAUAUCCCCAGAAAUACUGCAGCUUUAAGUGUCAACCCAAAAAAGUGGAUGCUGGCCAUGGCCACCCUCUGUGUUUGAGACAGAGACAUCAUAAAACUUUUCCACACCACUUCUGAUCAUUCCUCUUGAAACUUUGAAGCAGAUUUGCAUCUUAUGACUUAUUUAAGAAAAUUAUCAAAUGUGAAAGCAUCUGGAAAGCUGCACCAACAAAAGUUACAAAGACAACAAAGCUCAGGCAGAAGAACAGAGCCAGUGCGAGGAUCCAAAAGGAAGAGCUGGAAAAGAAGGAAAUCAUGUUUGUAGGUGCACCAGCUCAAAUAAUAACAGCCUUGCUUGUUCUCCUUGCAGCUUUCCUUGCUGCUUUUUUAUGGGCUGAGGUUCAGGUAAGAGAAUGGUGUGUCUGCCAUCAGUGCCUUCUGCAUUUGUAAUCCUUGCCUGCACUGCACCUGCAUCUGUGCCAGCCUCAUGACUUUCCACAGGCUGGCAGCAACCAACCUACAGAGCAGGAAAAUUACCUCCCCACACUAUGGCCACAUGCCCCUCUGAAGCUACAGGCCAAAAAAGUGUUCAAAACCAGAUAGGAACCACCCAAAGUUGGUGAUCUUCCUGUCCAGCUUUCUGGAUUUUAUGUUCUGCACUUUUAUCCUUUGUUAUACACUGUGGGGCACUGAUGGAAUGGUGCAGGUCCAAAUUGCUGAGAAUAUUUCCUAUGGUCUCUUUCCAGACCCAGGACAGAUGUGGUGGCAGGAUGUACCCUGCAGAACACACUGAGCAGCUUUGGCCAGCCCCAAACACGCACUUGCAGUAAAAGCAAGCUACCCUUCCAACAAAAACCCUUACCCAAACCCAUUGUUUUGUUAAUUUUAACUGGAUUAUCUAUGAGGCAAAAUCCCCACUGAAAUCAAAUCUGAAGAAACUCAGGUUUCCCAAGACUCCCUCAGCAGGAAUGUCAUUGCAAUGAAAUGACUCCUCUUGCAACCUCAAGACUUGUCAGGAGGGUCAAACAAGCAUUGUUCCAGCCUGAGCUCUGACAUAGAUGCCCUGGGCUUCAGGUACCAUUUCAGAGCCAGCCCAGUGCCCCCCAUGGCUUCAGCCCCCUCCAAGCCCCACAGUGCCCACACUGCUGGCCAUCCCUCUCCCAGUGACCUUCCCCCAGCCCAGCACUCGUCUGUGAAACAUGAGUUGGUCUUGUCUCAUUGCCUGGCCUGUGUUUCUGCGAGCCAAGCCAGCAGAGAUUCAAACAAGCUCUGUAGUGGGUGCUGGAAGGCUGAUUUUGGGCACCCUGGCUUCGGGUGACUCCAGCCGCAGAAAGCAGCACUGCUCACACUGAACUGGUCUCAUUUCGUGUCAAAGAGCUUCUGCAGCCCAUCCCCCAUGCCAAGUGCUGUGCAAACCCUGGGAAUCCUCCCUCUCAACACUCUGUCAUGGUGUAAUUCUAUUAUAAUUCCUGACAUUUGAGAGACUUCUAACAGUGCGUGCUCUAAAUUAGACAAGCGAUAUCUUGCUCGCUGCUCUGGAUAAAUAAAAAAGUGCCAAACCUAAUUUUCUAUCUCUCUGUUCUUGAUACUGAUUUCCUUUUAAACCUGUAACUACCAUCCUGUCACUCCUUCCUCAUGUGUGGCUUGUGGGUAUUACAUAAAAAAAAAAGAUAUUUCAUGUCUGGUGCACACAUGUGCAAUAGAUGUGCAGACCACAGGAAGGUGCCAUGCUGAAGCAAGCAUGCACUGCUGUUUUGUUUUUCCCACAGCUGUAUUGAGGAACUUAGAGGCAACAAAUGCAAUUUGAGAUCAAACAAUUGACGAGGACAAAAUAUGUUUUGUAAGGCAGACAAUCUAAGUAUAAAGUUGUUUGCAGAAUCUGUGUGAAUUUUAUUUAUGUUUCCUGGUCUUUAGUCUCCUCUGGGAUCUUACAUAUUUUGCAUUAUUAUCAAAUAUUUGUAACGAUCCCUUAUAAACAGUCUAAUGUUAAAAGCUACUCCAAGUGUAACUUGACCCAGAGGAAAGAUGCUUAUCUGAGCUGCACAAUGACAGAUUAAAAAAAGAUGCUGAUGCAGUAUGCCUCUUGUAAAAUGAGGGAAAUAUAAGACAAAUCAAAACUACAUGGAUAUUUUUAAUCAUAAGAUAAAGCAGGAGUCAUCUUUGUUGGCUUUUGCAGUGAAAUACUACUAGCAUGAGCUACAAAUAUACAGCACUUCUGAUCCCAAAUGCACUCGCCAACCAAGGAAGGAAGGAGAGGAGUAAAUGCUAAGCCAGCCGGUACUGUCAGCAUCUAUUUCACUGUUUAGUAAUUAUUUUUUUUAUUACUAUGACAACAUGGACAGUAAGAAUUGCUUCUUUAACCUCAGCAAAUGAGACUGUGCAGAUGAGACUUUUUUUUUUUAACUGAAGCAGUUGCUUUUUACUUCUGCCAUGUAAGAAAGUGUGGCACUGCCAGAGUGUCCUGCCCUGCUCUGCCUCCUCCCGCCUUCGUGGGUGACUCUACUGCAGUGUGGCACUCGGGUCAUUUUUUUUUUAUAUCAGGAGGCAUUUGAGAACGGCUCCACACUGGCUCAGCAUUUUCUG
ensembl:lncRNA